GGUGAGAUGGCCGAGCGGUCUAAGGCGCCAGACUAAGGUUCAUGCCCAUAUGCUGUGGCGUGCUGUCUAAAUCUGGUCUCGUCGGGGGCGGGAGUUCGAAUCUCCCUCUCAUCA